UGUAUAAUGGGUCAGCGACUUAUAUUCUGUAGCAAGGUUAACCGAAUAGGGGAGCCGAAGGGAAACCGAGUCUUAACUGGGCGUUAAGUUGCAGGGUAUAGACCCGAAACCCGGUGAUCUAGCCAUGGGCAGGUUGAAGGUUGGGUAACACUAACUGGAGGACCGAACCGACUAAUGUUGAAAAAUUAGCGGAUGACUUGUGGCUGGGGGUGAAAGGCCAAUCAAACCGGGAGAUAGCUGGUUCUCCCCGAAAGCUAUUUAGGUAGCGCCUCGUGAAUUCAUCUCCGGGGGUAGAGCACUGUUUCGGCAAGGGGGUCAUCCCGACUUACCAACCCGAUGCAAACUGCGAAUACCGGAGAAUGUUAUCACGGGAGACACACGGCGGGUGCUAACGUCCGUCGUGAAGAGGGAAACAACCCAGACCGCCAGCUAAGGUCCCAAAGUCAUGGUUAAGUGGGAAACGAUGUGGGAAGGCCCAGACAGCCAGGAUGUUGGCUUAGAAGCAGCCAUCAUUUAAAGAAAGCGUAAUAGCUCACUGGUCGAGUCGGCCUGCGCGGAAGAUGUAACGGGGCUAAACCAUGCACCGAAGCUGCGGCAGCGACGCUUAUGCGUUGUUGGGUAGGGGAGCGU
rnacentral:rRNA from 1 species